GUAAAUGCUGUCUACACAUACCCAGAGGGUCUAAACAUAAACACAUGAGAACAGAAAUACGGUCUUUGGAUUUUGUUGAAUUUUUUUAUUUUUGUAGUUUUCUUCAACACUCGCCUCCCCGGUAGGGCCUCAUGUCUGGGCUCUGUAGCUGGGAAAUCAGGACAGACUGGCCUUCAGGUUCCUUAGUUGAAACAUGAUAUCUACUGAGGAAAGAUCCUAACAAGUGAGGGAUAAAAGAAGGGGAAUUCCAUCAACCUAAGUAGAUAGGUAAGAAAGUCUUGAGUAAAACUUGUAUUUAAAUACUACAGUUAGAAUGAAAAAGGCUGGGGGCAGCAGGAUGUAACAUGUGGAUGAAAGUGAAAGAAGAAAGCAGAAUGGAAAGUUACAGAUUAAACUGUUUAGACUUUAAAGUGACCAGUGACCAGAUUCACUCUUUAGUUUUUUUUUCCAGCAGAGGUAUACACGAGGUGCAUGCAUAUUUCUAAGAAUGUUAUUACCCCACAAGUGCACGUUGUAAAUAUUAACCCUUUUUUCAUUGUCAUUGUUAUCAGUGUACAAAAACAACGAAAAUAUGAACAAAAAGAGCACACAGCUAAAAUUAGAAACUAUUGGAGUGGAGUACACAGAAGGCAGAACUAUGGAAGAAUGCAAACAUGUACAGAUUUACCAAGGACUUAUAAUUUACUGUACAAUUUGACGAUUGUGGGACCCUGCAGCAUAUAUUUUAGUGCACAAGUGAGCCCUUGACAGAACAUAAAAAAUACAGUAAAUGUAUUCCAAGUUUAUCAAUAACCCAAUGGUGAAUAUUGUCUGCACAUACAGAAUACAGCAUAUUUCUGCAUAAUUAUAAUUUUCCUUUUUCAUUAUGAUGACAAGUGAAUUGCUGGUGUUGCUUAUCUGUAUCUACUUUUGUUGUACAAUCGUCUCACAGUACAUAUAACUUAAAAAACAGAAGGUAUGUAAAUAAUUUACCAUUAAAGAUUACUUUCCAUUCCAAGCACAAAUGCAGAAAGUACUAAGAUCAAAAACUUUGUUUUCAAGCUGGAUCCGGAAGGAGUAAUCUGAGAUGGUUUUAAAGGAAAAUCCCUUUAUAUCUGGAAUUUCCCAAGGUAUACUGAAAUCCCUUGGACAUGUUAGGUAUGGGGCUGUGCUGAACGAAGGAACUGUAGCAACAAGCAGAUUAAACAGACAAUGCUUCUAUUACUUACUGCAGUGGGAGGUGUGCCACAUGGUACAUUUUCAAAACCCUCCCUGAUGUAAAAAUAGGUUUGGAAGGUAACAGUUCAAGUUUUAAAAUGUAGUGGCCUUAAUUUAUGUUGAAAAAUGUCUGAAUUAGAUCUGCAAUAGUGUGUGGUGCAUUCCUGCAUGACAUUUUGAAUUUGAAUUAUUCAUUAUGGUGCAGUUAAAGUUUGGACAGUGCUGGGUUUGUGUCCUGGUUAAUAAUGUUUGCACUGUAAAAUGUAGUAAACUUGGCGCUAUUUUCUUCCUAUUUAGAAAGUAGCAGUAGGCCAAGCCUGGAAAUACAUUGUAACUUGUAUCUUUAUCUACAGUAUAAUGGCCCCUCUGUAUUUCCUGCAAAAAAUGUAACAUACAUAUGUUUUUUUUUUUUACUCUGAAAAUAGGCCAGCAGGAGUGAUGAAACAGUUAACAACAAUCAAGCAAAUUCCACACUUUUCUGUGCAAACAGGAUGUCUUGCUGAAAUCCCUGGAGUACACCUAAAAGGUCUAUGAGUCACACAAUUAGCUUGUGUUUAGUUUCAACGCCCUUACAGACUGUGCCAGAGUUUUUAAGUAAAUAAAAAUUGAGCAAUUUCUUGGCAUUCAUUCUUUUUGUAAUGAAUGUGCAGCAUAAGAACAUUGCCCAGUACAAUACAA